rnacentral:rRNA from 1 species
CCCCUAGAUGUUCUGGGCCGCACGCGCGCUACACUGAACAGUUCAACAAGUCUUAACCUUGGCCGAUAGGUCUGGGUAAUCUUUGAACGCUGUUCGUGAUUGGGAUAGACCUUUGCAAUUAUGGGUCUUCAACGAGGAAUUCCUAGUAAACGCAAGUCAUCAGCUCGCGUUGAUUACGUCCCUGCCCUUUGUACACACCGCCCGUCGCUCCUACCGAUUGAAUGGUCCGGUGAAAUGUUCGGACCGCGACAAGGCGGACGGUUCGCUGUCAGCUUUGCUGCGGGAAGUUCAUUAAACCUUAUCAUUUAGAGGAAGGAGAAGUCGUAACA